AUGUUAAUCCAGGAUCAAGAGAGGAUAGCAAAUCUGAACUACAUCUACAACUGCAACGACACAGAGGCUCUGUGGAUGCUUCGAAUGAAAAGAGCACCUUUCGCUAGGCUUGUGCAGACGUUUAGGAGCAGGGGACUGCUAGAAGAUAGCAUCCACACCACUGUGGAAGAGCAAGUCGCCAUGUUCCUCCAUGUUGUUGGUCAUAACUAGAGGUUUAGGGUUGUACACAACACCUUCAGGAGAUCAAUGGAGACCAUCUCUAGGUACUUCAAGCAAGUGUUGUAUGCUGUUGGGGAGCUCAGAGGAGAGAUGAUCAGGUCACCAACUGACCGGACUCCUACCAAGAUUCCCACUAGCCCAAGAUGGUAUCCAUACUUCAAGGUGAGCACUUGA
rnacentral:rRNA from 1 species